rnacentral:rRNA from 1 species
GACGAACGCUGGCGGCGCGCUUAACACAUGCAAGUCGAGCGAUGAAAUCUUGACAGAUCCCUUCGGGGUGAAGAUAAGAUGGAUUAGCGGCGGACGGGUGAGUAACACGUGAGUAACCUGCCUUAGACAUUGGGAUAGCCUCGGGAAACCGGGAUUAAUACCAAAUGAAAUCAUAGGUGCCCAUGCACUAAUGAUCAAAACUCCGGUGGUCUAAGAUGGACUCGCGUCCCAUUAGCUAGUUGGUGAGGUAAUGGCCCACCAAGGCGACGAUGGGUAGCCGGCCUGAGAGGGUGAACGGCCACAUUGGAACUGAGAAACGGUCCAAACUCCUACGGGAGGCAGCAGUGGGGAAUAUUGCACAAUGGAGGGAACUCUGAUGCAGCGACGCCGCGUGAACGAUGAAGGCUUUCGAGUCGUAAAGUUCUUUUAUAUGGGAAGAUAAUGACGGUACCAGAAGAAAAAGCCCCGGCUAACUACGUG